AAAGGGAGACCUAAUUCAGGUAGGAGACGAAAAAAAAGUAGUCGCUACCAAGAAUCAAUCCCAAAAGGUCGGAGCGAGGCGAAAUUGGCUUUCAAACUAGGUUCUGGGUUCAAACAAGACCUGAAUCAGGAACAAGGGCUAUUAGCUCAGGUGGUUAGAGCGCACCCCUGAUAAGGGUGAGGUCCCUGGUUCGAGUCCAGGAUGGCCCACCUGUACAGGUGGCAAAAACAAGAGAAGCGAGGAAUCAGCACCUUAUCUUACUGACAUAGUAAGAGAGAAUGCUGGCUCUGAGUUCAGAGUCCAGAGGAACCUUGAAAACUGCAUAGAGCUAGGUGAAAAAGCCAAAAAAGAAGACCGCAAG
rnacentral:tRNA from 1 species